rnacentral:pre_miRNA from 1 species
AAUAGAACCAUUCUUCAGUUUUUUGAUACAAUGUUUUGACUAUUCAUCUUAUUUGAAAUUUUUUUGCGAUUAAUAUUUUUAUUCUUACUAAAUGAUAAAAUAUGAAUAGUACUUUAUACGUGGCUAUUUUUUUAAGUUUUUGUGCAAAUCUUCCAAAUAAGACGAAUGAUCAAACGUUGGACAUGGAAAAAC